ACACGUGGUCAAGCUAACCUAUGGACGUGGAUAACCUCGGGAAACUGAGAAUAAACCGCGAUGGAUCAUGAUGCCUGGAAUGGCUUAUGGUCGAAAUAGUUUACUGCCAUAGGAUGCGACUGCGGCCUAUCAGUUAGUUGGUGAGGUAAUGGCCCACCAAGACUAUUACAGGUACGGGCUCUGAGAGGAGAAGCCCGGAGAUGGGUACUGAGACACGGACCCAGGCCCUAUGGGGCGCAGCAGGCGAGAAACCUUAGCAAUGUGCGAAAGCACGACUGGGUUAGUCCGAGUGAUUCCUGCUAAAGGAAUCUUUUGCCGGUCCUAAAAGCACCGGUGAAUAAGGGGUGGGCAAGUCUGGUGUCAGCCGCCGCGGUAAUACCAGCACCUCGAGUGAUCAGGACGUUUAUUGGGCCUAAAGCAUCCGUAGCUGGCUUUGCAAGUCUCCGGUUAAAUCAACCUGCUCAACAGAUUGGCCGCUNGGAGAUACUACCAAGGCUAGGGAGUGGGAGAAGCAGACUGUAUUCCGGGGGUAGGGGUAAAUCCUUCCGAUCCCUCUGA
rnacentral:rRNA from 1 species